AUUGAACGCUGGCGGCAUGCCUUACACAUGCAAGUCGAACGGUAACAGGUCUUCGGAUGCUGACGAGUGGCGAACGGGUGAGUAAUACAUCGGAACGUGCCCGAUCGUGGGGGAUAACGAAGCGAAAGCUUUGCUAAUACCGCAUAAGAUCUACGGAUGAAAGCAGGGGACCGCAAGGCCUUGCGCUCACGGAGCGGCCGAUGGCAGAUUAGGGAGUUGGUGGGAUAAAAGCUUACCAAGCCGAGGAUCUGUAGCUGGUCUGAGAGGACGACCAGCCACACUGGGACUGAGACACGGCCCAGACUCCUACGGGAGGCAGCAGUGGGGAAUUUUGGACAAUGGGCGCAAGCCUGAUCCAGCCAUGCCGCGUGCAGGAUGAAGGCCUUCGGGUUGUAAACUGCUUUUGUACGGAACGAAAAGACUCCUUCUAAUAAAGGGGGUCCAUGACGGUACCGUAAGAAUAAGCACCGGCUAACUACGUGCCAGCCGCCGCAGUAAUAC
rnacentral:rRNA from 1 species